rnacentral:rRNA from 1 species
ACUCCUACGGGAGGCAGCAGUGGGGAAUAUUGCACGAAUGGGCGCAAGCCUGAUGCAGCCAUGCCGCGUGAUGUAGCAAGAAUGGGCCUUUCGGGUUGAUAAAGCACUUUUCAGUCGUGAGGAAGGUGAGUGUAGUUAAUAGCUGCAUUAUUUGACGUUAGCGAACAAGAAGAAGCGACCGGCUAACUCCGUGCCAGCAGCCGCGGUAAUACGGAGGGUGCGAGCGUUAAUCGGAAUUACUGGGCGUAAAGCGCAUGCAGGUGGCUUGUUAAGUCAGAUGUGAAAGCCCGGGGCUCAACCUCGUAAUUGCAUUUGAAACU